GUAGGUGAACCUGCGGAAGGAUCAUUACAGUGUUCCCUGCCCUCACGGGUAGAAACGCCCACCCUUGUAUAAUAUAUCUUGUUGCUUUGGCAGGCCGCCCUCGGGCACCGGCUCCGGCUGGAUCGUGCCUGCCAGAGGACCCCAAACUCUGAAUGUUAGUGUCGUCUGAGUACUAUAUAAUAGUUAAAACUUUCAACAACGGAUCUCUUGGUUCUG
rnacentral:misc_RNA from 1 species